rnacentral:tRNA from 1 species
GCCCUCGGUGGCUCAGAUGGAUAGAGCGUCUGCCAUGUAAGCAGGAGAUCCUGGGUUCGAGUCCCGGUCGGGGUA